UACAGAGGUCCCAAGCGUUGUUCGGACUCACUGGGCGUAAAGGGUGCGUAGGCGGUCGGGUAAGUCUGAUGUGAAAUCUCACAGCUUAACUGUGAAACUGCAUUGGAUACUAUUCGGCUUGAGAGUUGGAGGGGGGACUGGAAUUCUUGGUGUAGCAGUGAAAUGCGUAGAUAUCAAGAGGAACACCAGUGGCGAAGGCGAGUCCCUGGACAACUUCUGACGCUGAGGCACGAAAGCUAGGGGAGCAAACAGG
rnacentral:rRNA from 1 species